rnacentral:snoRNA from 1 species
GCAUGGAUGAAUUCUGCACUAAUCUUGAUGUAGUUUCUGCAGUCAGACACCAUGCUAAAAUAAAAAUCAACUGAGCAUAUUCAUACAUGUAUUUUGUGCUGUGUAUGCUGAUACCUCAGUGGAUUACAAAG